GACGAACGCUGGCGGCGUGCCUAAUACAUGCAAGUAGAACGCUGAAGCUUGGUGCUUGCACCGAGCGGAUGAGUUGCGAACGGGUGAGUAACGCGUAGGUAACCUGCCUGGUAGCGGGGGAUAACUAUUGGAAACGAUAGCUAAUACCGCAUAAGAGUAGAUGUUGCAUGACAUUUGCUUAAAAGGUGCAAUUGCAUCACUACCAGAUGGACCUGCGUUGUAUUAGCUAGUUGGUGAGGUAACGGCUCACCAAGGCAACGAUACAUAGCCGACCUGAGAGGGUGAUCGGCCACACUGGGACUGAGACACGGCCCAGACUCCUACGGGAGGCAGCAGUAGGGAAUCUGCGGCAAUGGACGGAAGUCUGACCGAGCAACGCCGCGUGAGUGAAGAAGGUUUUCGGAUCGUAAAGCUCUGUUGUAAGAGAAGAACGAGUGUGAGAGUGGAAAGUUCACACUGUGACGGUAUCUUACCAGAAAGGGACGGCUAACUACG
rnacentral:rRNA from 1 species